AACGCGAAGAACCUUACCUGGGCUUGACAUGUUGGUAGUACUCCCCUGGAAACAGGGGGGGACCCUUCGGGGAGCCAUCACAGGUGCUGCAUGGCUGUCGUCAGCUCGUGUCGUGAGAUGUUGGGUUAAGUCCCGCAACGAGCGCAACCCUUGUCCUAUGUUGCCAGCGAGUAAUGUCGGGGACUCAUAGGAGACCGCCGGUGCUAAACCGGAGGAAGGUGGGGACGACGUCAAAUCAUCAUGCCCCUUACGUCCUGGGCUGCACACAUGCUACAAUGGCCGGUACAGAGGGCUGCAACCCCGCGAGGGUGAGCGAAUCCCAAAAAGCCGGUCUCAGUUCGGAUUGGAGUCUGCAACUCGACUCCAUGAAGGCGGAGUCGCUAGUAAUCGCAGAUCAGCAACGCUGCGGUGAAUACGUUCCCGGGCCUUGUACACACCG
rnacentral:rRNA from 1 species